CCGAAGGCAGAGGCUUAACCCACUGAGCCACCCAGGCGCCCCUCCAGUUUUCUUUCUUAAUUGAUCCCUGGUAUCCUACCAUUGUGCUCUGAAAAGAUAUUGAUGAGAUUUCAGUCUUCUUAAGUUUAUUAAGAAUUGUUCUGUGGCCUAACAUCUGAUCUACCUUGGAGAAUGUCCCACGUUGCACAUGAAAAGAAUGUGUAUUCUGCUGCUAUUGGAUGGAAUGUCCGAUAGGUCUAGCGAAUUGCUGGACUGAGAUCAAGCGGUUCAUGGUGCCAAAAAACCAGGGAAGCUGCUGAGGCUCCAAGGGCGAUGCAGAAGGGCCUUCAGGGGCAGCAUCACCCCACUGAGCGGUGGCCUGGCAUGCAGAUCCAUGGGACCGCUGGUGUCGGUCCUGCACCCCGGCUCACCAGGGCUCACAGCUCAGGUGCUCCUUUGCACAUUCCUUAAAGGGAAGCCCCUUGCUGGGGUGAGCUCCCACGGACUUGGGAAUGAAAGCCCCAACCAAGCACCUAGAGAUUCUAGGUGCUUCCAGCCCAUCAGCUCAUUCAAUGGAUACUCUCAUCACCCUCACCAUCAUCAUCAUCCCUUACCCCUGUCCGACACUGGACAAAGAGGCACAGAAUCUUAAUUCACCAGCCAGAGUCCUCCCCAGAGCUGCCUUACAGUCUUUGGAUUCCGAGACCUGGACUGCAUGCACAGCAUGAGAUUACCUUAAUUCACGCUGCUCCCAAGUACACCUUGCGAAGCUCUGUUUAAACUGAAAGGAUGGUUUGCCACUUUGAGGCGGUAGGAAUCUAGUGUGAUUCCUGAAGCCUGGGAGAUUUUCCACCUGUGGGCUCACGCUUUUGCAGGGAACCGAAACUGUGCCCUACCUGUUCUGCAUAAACCAGGACACCCCCCAAGUCCCUCCCAGCCUUUCAGAUCUAUCCUUGAGGUCUCCACGCAGCUUUCACCACCAAAGGGAGGCUGCCAACCACACCAAGAGACCUGUCCCCAGCUCGGAAUCCCCGAAACCCCCAGAGCGGGGAGGAACAGCUCCAUUUCGCGUGACAGCUAGCUCGCUUGAGGAUCAGUGGAAAACUCAGCGACACUGGGAGUAAGGAAGUUGGAAAGAAUGUCGGUCUUUGCUGGGAUUUAAUAUGACAGAUUUCUGGCUCUGAACUUGGACAAGAUUAACUCUUCGUUCUGAAGGAAAAAGAGAAGGGAAAAAAAAACCCCACCUCUCUGAAAUCACAGUUUGGUGGAAAAAUGUGCAGCUCUCAAAGUGUCACAGGCCGUCAGAUUUGCACGUUCCCUUUUUCCGGGGCUGCAUAUUUCCUGCAUCUGACAAUAUGUUUGUUACCCCUCCUCUGUGCCAGGGACACAUACAGUAAAUUGUCAGCUCGAACCAUGUAAUCUCUUAACCAGAAGGCUCCAACAUCUGCUGGCCAGUUGUCGCAUGGUUGGAUCAUUAACAUGGCUUCUAAUUUUACCCUUUGAAUUUAACAUAAAAGUUUUAAUGAGCGUAUGUAAUUCAUACUUUCCAACUUCAGAGAGUCCUGAAAGAGAAACCUAUGCUUUUAUAAUCCAAGCCUCUGACGUAGCCGGUUUUAUUUUUAAAUCCCGCUUCCCCCCCAACCCCGUCCGUGCACAAAUGCAUUAUAAAAGAGACCACUUGGACAUCAUCUCCCUUGCCAAGAGAGGCAUUCAAAUAUUUGUCUAGGUUUUGGUGAAGAGCCCCUUUCAAGUUUGGGCUCAGAUGAUAGGGCAGACGUGCGCAUUCUACAUUUCAUCCUGAGAAUCGUGUUGGGAGCCCCCAUUCAUCCGUCUAUAAAAACAAAUUGAAAAUUGGCAUGAGAAAGACGACCCCUGAGUCAUGUUGAGAGAAUUCAGUUUUAAAACUUGCCAUCGCUCUCAUGCCUGUUUUUACUGAAACGAGCUGGGGUUAGUAAUGGGUUGUUCCUGCCAGUUUAGUUCACUUUUCCCAUUGCCUCCUCUCUGGGUAGAGAGGAGUCUCCAGCCUAGAAAGUGACUGCACUGGAUUAAAUGCAAUUUGGAGUGACCUUUUUAUUCAGAGACUUGCCUCCGUUGAUAUGUUUUGGGCUAUUUUUUAAGAACAGACUCCAAGAGAUGAGAGCAGAAACAUUCAAAGCCAAUAGAGAGAGACUGUCCCCUGAACACCGACUAGAGCUGUGCUUCUCAUUUACCAGCUCCCGGUCAGUUUCAAAAGGAAUUCCCCGUUUGAGUAUUUGCCUCCUGUUCGGGGUCUUCUGUACUGAAAGCUUAAUGAAGCUUUAAAGCAAAAGUCCCAGAACGAAGUUUGUUAGUGUGGCUUAUUAACUCCUGCUGGAAG